GCGCGGCCAGGAAGCUUGGGCGGCGGGUCCUGCCUGUGACUGCUGUGGAGGCUGCUGGUCCUGCCUGAAACGGCCGCGGAGGCGGCGGCUGUUCCAGACACCUGCGGCGGCGGCGACCCCCCGGCGGCGCGGAGAUGUGGCCCUUGGUGGCAGCGCUGUUGCUGGGUUCGUUUUGCAGCGGUUCAGCCCAGCUACUAUUUAAUAAAACCAAAUCAGUAGAAUUCACCUUUUGCAAUGAAACUGUUGUCAUCCCAUGUUUUGUUAUUAAUGUGGGGGCACAAAACACUAACGAAAUGUAUGUGAAGUGGAAAUUUAAAGGAAAAUACAUUUUCAUCUAUGAUGGAGGCCAAGACAACGCUACUAUGGACAGUAACUUUUCAAGUGCAAAAAUCGCAGUCUCCGAAUUACUUAAAGGAGAUGCUUCUUUGAAGAUGGAUAAGCGUGAUGCGAAAGUAGGAAACUACACAUGUGAAGUAACAGAAUUAACCAGAGAAGGUGAAACCGUUAUAGAACUCAAAUAUCGUGUUGUGUCAUGGUUUUCUCCAAAUGAAAAUAUUCUCGUCGUUAUUUUCCCAAUUUUGGCUAUACUUCUCUUCUGGGGACAAUUUGGCAUUUUAACACUUAAAUAUAAAUCCAACUGUACAAAUAAGAAAAUCAUCCUUUUACUUAUUGCUGGACUACUGCUCACUACAAUUGUCAUUGUUGGAGCCAUUCUCUUUGUCCCAGGAGAAUAUUCAGUAAAGAAUGCUUCAGGACUUGGUUUCAUCGUAAUUUCUACAGGGGUAUUAAUAUUACUUCAGUACAAUGUGUUUAUGACAGCUUUUGGGAUGACCUCCUUUACCAUUGCCAUAUUGAUCACUCAGGUGUUGGGCUAUGUGCUCGCUGUGGUUGGACUAUGUCUCUGUAUCAUGGCGUGUAUACCAGUGCAUGGCCCUCUUCUGAUUUCAGGUUUGGGUAUCAUAGCUCUAGCAGAAUUACUUGGACUAGUUUAUAUGAAGUUUGUGGAGUGCAGAGAGAGACCUUCGGUCAGUUGAAAGGCAAGAAGAGAAAAGCUUCUAAUCAGAGGACUAUACAAGCUCCUAGGAAAGCUGUAGAGGAACCACUUAAUGAGUAACUGAAGUGAAGUGAAGGACUCUGGUUUGGAGAGUCAUGGAACCUGAAGGAGUACACUUGUAUUUAAAGACCCCGGCCUUGAUGAUUCACUCUUGGGAAGAAGAAGAAAAAAAAAAAAAGAAAAGUAACUGGUACUCGUCUGUAAGAGAAAAUAAGUCAUUGACCCGUAAAUGAUUAUCACAGUUUUUAUUCAAAACAACUGUAAUUUAGUUAAUAAAAGAUUUAUGAUCUGUGUCGUGUG